rnacentral:rRNA from 1 species
AGCGAACGCUGGCGGCGUGCCUAACACAUGCAAGUCGAACGUGAAAAGGGAAACCUGAGUAAAGUGGCGUACGGGUGAGUAACGCGUAGGUAAUCUACCCCAGAAUCUGGAAUAACCUGCCGAAAGGCGGGCUAAUACUGGAUAGAGCGAGGGAACUCGUAAGAGAGUUUUUCGGGAAAGGGAGCCCGCAAGGGCCUUCGUUCUGGGAUGAGCCUGCGUCUCAUUAGCUAGUUGGUAAGGUAACGGCUUACCAAGGCGAUGAUGAGUAGCUGGUCUGAGAGGAUGAUCAGCCACACUGGAACUGAAACACGGUCCAGACUCCUACGGGAGGCAGCAGUGGGGAAUCUUGCGCAAUGGACGAAAGUCUGACGCAGCCACGCCGCGUGAGUGAAGAAGGCCUUCGGGUUGUAAAGCUCUGUCGGAUGGGACGAACAUCUUCAUAGUGAAUAGCUAUGAGGACUGACGGUACCAUCAAAGGAAGCACCGGCUAACGCCGUG